rnacentral:lncRNA from 10 species
GGAUGACGCUGUGUUCCAGCCGGCGGAGAGGGUCCCCCAUUUCCUCGGUAAGGAGGGUGACCUCCUCGCUCCAAUCAGGGACUGAGCUGAGCUGAGGACAAGCUGCCCUUUCGCUUCCAGUCCUGCCACAGUCUUGAAGAAGAGAUCAGCUUUCGCGUCUUCAUUCUUGCCAAGAUUAGCUGCCCUUCGAAUCUCCCGUGUGUCAUUAAUCCCAGCACGAACAAGCACUUGGGAACUGCGGGCUGCAGAUGGUCUGCUUAUCCUACGGAACCCUCCUCUUUUGAGGCUUAACCCCUUUAGUCUUUGUUGCUUCUGUAGCUUUCUGAUGCCAUUAAAGAGAUGAUUUUUAUA